GGCAAGGUGGCCGAGUGGUCUAAGGCGCACGGUUCAGGUUACUGAAUCUUUAAAACUGAAGUCAAUACUUCGAGUUUCCGUGUUCAGAAAUGAGCGUGGGUUCGAAUCCCACCCUUGUCA